CCUACGGGUGACUGCAGUCGAGAAUCAUUCACAAUGGGGGAAACCCUGAUGCUGCGACGCCGCGUGGGGGAAUGAAGGCCUUCGGAUUGUAAACCCCUGUUAUGUGGGAGCAAAUUCAAAAGCUAGUACCAAAAGAGGAAGAGCCGGCUAACUCUGGGCCAGUAGCUGCGGUACUACAGCGGCUUCAAGCGUUGUUCGGAACGAGUGGGCGUAAUGCGUGGGGAGGAGGUUGCGUAAGGCGUGUGUGAAAGGCGCGGGCUUAAACCGCGGACGGCACAGGAUACUGCGAGACUAGAGUUUUGGAGGGGGAAGCGGAAUGCGCGGUGUAGCAGUGAAAUGCGUAGAUAUCGAGAGGAACACUCGUGGCGAAGGCGGGUUCCUGGACAUUAACUGACGCUGAGGCACGAAGGCCAGGGUAGCGAAAGGGAUUAGAUACCCCUGUAGUC
rnacentral:rRNA from 1 species